rnacentral:rRNA from 1 species
UGGGGAAUAUUGGACAAUGGGGGAAACCCUGAUCCAGCGACGCCGCGUGUGUGAAGAAGGCCUGCGGGUUGUAAAGCACUUUCGAUGGGAACGAAAUGUGCCGGGCUAAUACCCCGGCAAGCUGACGUUACUCAAUGAAGAAGCACCGGC